UACUCGCCCUCAUCUCCUACCCGUCCGGCUCGUCGGAGCAGCGGCCGGCAGAGAGCUGCGGUGGUCCGCACUGCAGAAGCAGUAGCGGCCGAUGGCGGCGGACACGAUGGCCGUCAUGGGCAGAGCAGCGCGGUGGCCGGGUGCCAUCUGGAGAGCCGGUGGCCGGUGGUGCGCGAUCUGGGCGAUUUGGAGGUGAGGCGACAACGUUGACUAGGACGUCGAUGGAAAUCUUCAUCGUGCCGCUCGGAGAGGAGCUCGUCCGCCUCGUCGACGAUCCCCUCUUCUCGACGGAUCCGCGAUGGAGGUGCUCAAGGAGGAGCUUCUUCUCUGGAUGCCAUGGAGAUCGUCAAGGUGCUCCCCCACUCCCCCUCCCUCUGUCUGGGUAUUUGUACUGACCGCCUCCGGCUCGAGCAAGGAUCCGCUGCACCUCCGUCCUCGCAGCGCCUGAGAUCACUGGCCCGAGCAAGGUGCCACCGAGCACUGCUCCUAGGUCCUCGCAGCUAAGACACAUACCCUCUACAGUUAGAUUGGUACAAUGAUCUCUGACUUGGAUACUUGUGCUACAUCUGAAUUUUGCAAGUAAUUGAAAAUUUGAUCUCUCCUGUUGUAAUGCGAACUAGAAAGGUGGGUAUCUUAAUUCAGAAUGUUAUUAGAAUCUUAUGGACUGCCAUUUACUUGCACAACAUAUGCAGUCAUUUUAUUUGAUCCUUCACUGUCAUAUCACGUCAGGCUGGGGGAAUUGUAACAGGAAAAAACCUAGGUUGUCUCUUCUGAUUGCAAUGAUUUUAGCCUACGAUUUUCAUUUGAUUGAUGUUCUGAAGUAGCUUACUCAAGUCCAGGUUCUCCAAUGAUGUGCAGAACUCUUGCAGGCACCUUUGUAAUUGCAAAAAUUAAGACAAGCUAUGAAGGGACCUUUUCUUGAUCCCUUCAUAGCUUGUCUUAAUUUUUGUUACGAAUCUGUUCUCGCACUAAUAUCAUAUCAUGCUAAAUGUGAAACCCAGCUACAUGAACUAUAAUUUCUCAUAUCAAAAGAGUCCAGAAGGGAAGCUACCCAAUAUUAUGUUAGGCACUUUGUCAUGGUUCGUCCUCAGAAGCUUCUAUACAUCGCCAUUGGUAGUUGUUGACUGUUGCAAGGACACGAACCAUAUUACAGUUGCAAAAGAGAAUUCACUUAAGAUAUUAUCAUCGGGUUUGAAAGAAAGAUGUUGCAUGGCCCUCUUGUUUCAAUUCUGUCCUGGUAGUGAUUCAGAGGGCACUGCCAUCAAAGGUAAUGAAUCUCCAUUUUGGUUUUUGGUAUUCUUCUCAGGUAUAUAAUAAAUUGUUCGGUUCCUCCAAUUUUCUUCUUAUUAUUUUUCUAAACACAGUCGCCCCUUCCCCAGUUCUGUAAGGAUAUGCGGUUUCUGUUGAUGGCCUCGUGGCUGAUUGCAUCUUGACGGAACACAAUUUCAUCAAUAAAUAUGUCCGUGUUGCUAGCCUGAGAAUUAGCUUGUUUGGUAGUUGACUCAUGAUAGUUCUUUUCCUUUUAAACUGAUUUUUGAUCAGUAGUUCAUAAACCAUGUACAAGAUUGAGAGAUUAAAUAAAGAGCUAGGCUGAGGUUUCACCGCUCAGCCUAUCAGUUUGUGUUUGGCUGAUAGAAACAAUAUUGUUUGGUUUAUACAAUGAUUACCUGACAAGUUCAUCUUCCUCUUUGCAAAUAUUACAUAAUAAGUAAUGGGACUGCUAUCUUUAAUUCUCUCAUGGCAAUCAGGCUAGGCACAUACAAGAGCGCACACGUCCGCCUUAGGAGUAAGAGGCGUGUGACAUGUGUUUUAGUUUCUAAUAGAAACACAAAAUAUGUCUAUUUUGCUCGUUAGAUAAUUAUUUUUAUUGUGUGCGCGUGUUGCACACUCAUGUCAUGACCGUGAAUGGAAGUGCACAAAGCAACUGCAUUAUGACCCGAUGUUUUAAUUUAUAGCACCUAUUGGUCUGGUAAGAUAUACGUUGUUACAAAUACAGAAAUCCAACACAAUAAUGUGCGGGAUAAUAGCGCCUCCUUGCGCGUUCCACCUCAUCGUUUUUUACUGUGCUAGCGAGAGAGAGAAAAACUGAGAGGGUAAAAAGGGGUGGACGCUACCUAGCGGGGACGCAAUUGGGCGAGAGGAGGAGGAGGAGGCACUUCUCCUGCUAGAUCCAUGGCCAUCACGUCGCUAUCGACAUCCACCCUCCUCAACAGAUCGAUCGAUCGGACGUCGCCAUGAUGUCUCUCUUUGUUGUGGAUUCAUGCGUGUUUUUUGUUCAAUCCAACCCUUACUGCAGGGCCUAGCGAAGGGAAUGAAGAGGCACACCCUCAGCCACGACUCUGUCCUUCAGCUACAAAAGCUAGAUAGAUUGUAAUCAGUUGCGUGAUUGAAACAACAUUUAGGUCAUCACAAAGGGCUCAAAAUGUUAUUAAGCCAAAACAUUGAUUUUGUGUUAUUACAAUGUUAUGUAUUAGUGAUGUGAUGUGAUUCGCCAUGUCCAACUCAUCCAUUUGGAUCUAAGUUCAAUUGGCUAAAAAAGAAGCUAGAUUUGGUACAAGUCUUUUUUGGGAGAUAUGCCCAUGAUAAUCGUAGUAAUCUUAGUUCUUGGCCUUUCAUUUGGAAAAAAGCUAGAUCUAUUCAUGAUAAUCGUAGUUCUUACCUUUCAUUAUUUAUCUUUAGGUAUGCAAAGAAGUUGGCUUUGGUACAAGUCUUUUUUGGUAGAUUAGUUACAUUGAAAUUCGAUAAAUAUUUGCUGAAUAUCCAGUAUCACAAGAAUCCUUGUAUUAGCUUGUUUCCAAAUGCUUAGUUUUAUGAGAGGAGGAUUUUAGAUGUUUCAAAUGUCCUGCCUCCUAGCUAUAACAAGGAUUAUACAUGCCUCUUGUUUGGCAGCUACACUCUUAUAAAUGACAGGAUGGAAGGGAAGACAAGGAGGGCACAAGAAACAGUCGACGAAACAUGGUUGAAGUUGUUGUUCUGCACCUCAUCCAAACCAUCUUUAGAUAAAUGCUCUUACUAUGCACUAGAAGCGCGCAUCGAGAAUGCGCAGAUCUACUCGAUGCACACUUCUGAUGGAUCAGUGCCUUCACCUCUUAUAGUUUGUUCACCACAUGAUAUGCCAAACACAAUUUUUUAUGGAAUCUGGAUGGUGUUGCGCCUCGGCUUUGCGAGGAACAAGGCGGUGCGCUCAUGUUGUCUCCUUGGAAGCUUGUGCUGAUAAAAGUCCUAUGUCAGCUGAUGGAGCACGUGCAGGUUCAAGUUUGUUUAAGAUCAUUGUGGAGUCAUAUUUGAAGGGUACAAACCUUUUCAUUUGAAGUUGCCCUACCCUCGAAGACAUUGAUAAUUAUGCUUAUAGAGUGUUUCAUCCGUUGUUCUCAUGUUGUGCUACAUACUGACUGCGCUUCUUUUCUUUUACAUAGUUGCUAUUGAUUCUGCAUUUGAGGAUAAUGAUGAUGCUGAAAACUUUCGUGUUUCUGUUUCAAGUAUGUUGAAAUUUUUAAUAAAUAUUUCCUAUUCAGAGCACCCUCCACUUCGUGGCUCCUUCAUUUAUACUAAUGAAGUACUUCUUGGUGCACAAUGUGAUGAGCAAUUGGCCUUGUAUGCUCUGAUUGCACACGUAGCUGCUGACACCGCCAUACCCUUGAGCAAUUGUUUUCUGAGCGAUUUGCAUGGCUAAGUCAGGUCUCCUUCUUAGCUUCAUCUUGUGACUUAUCUUGGUUCAAAAUCACCUAUGUGUCCCUGCUAUAAUAGCCUUCAUUCCAUGAUAAUGAUCCCACUCAUACAUUGGAGAAGAUGUAUUGGCUGUUUUCUUAGCUAAAAACAGUGAGAGAAUCUCUCACUAUGGCAUUUCAAUUAAAUAAAUUAAUGACUGUACAUCAAGAUUACCAGCCAUGUCCUAAUUUAUUCAGGCGAAGGAGAAACACUGCUUGUAGAUAAUUCAAAGCUUCCUUCUUUGUACUUAUGUUUUCAAUUUUUUGAUAAACUAUUUGCAGUUCCAUCUACUUCUCAUAGUUUCUGCAAUUCUCAAAUUCGACUUGUGUUAUAGGCUUUAGUCCUUAUAACAUAUGGUACUCGAUUGAUCAUCGUGUAUAUUGUGUAAACAUAAAAUGAUGCACUGAAUGCAGUAUGCUCUUUCCAAUUGUUAUUGUGUUUUUCCCUAUCCGCUAAGAUAAAAAUCACACCUCUCAAAGUUUUAACAUUUAGUUAUUU